rnacentral:rRNA from 1 species
UACGUAGGAGACGAGCGUUGUCCGGAGUUACUGGGCGUAAAGGGCGCGUAGGCGGCUCAUGAAGGCUGUGGUGAAAGUCCGGGGCUCAACCCCGGGUCGGCCGUGGCAACUGCUGGGCUGGAGCACAGUAGAGGCGGGUGGAAUUCCGGGUGUAGCGGUGGAAUGCGUAGAGAUCCGGAAGAACACCGGUGGCGAAGGCGGCCCGCUGGGCUGUUGCUGACGCUGAGGCGCGACAGCGUGGGGAGCAAACAGG